AUGCAGUAUAUCCACUUUCUUCUAUCUAUUUUAAGUAUUAUUGUGGGUCUGCAGUAUGAAUCACUACAUGCUGGAGAAGUUCCUGGAGGCGAUCAGGAGCAGAGGCAUCAAGAUAUGCCCUGGGUGCAAUGCCUCGCAGGCUGUAGCACCUGCCUAGUUAUGCAUAUGUCGGCAAGACAAGUUUUGCCUGCUCUGCUUCAUAUCAGUCUCUUCUGA
rnacentral:rRNA from 1 species